rnacentral:rRNA from 1 species
AGAGUUUGAUCCUGGCUCAGAACGAACGUUGGCGGCGUGGAUUAGGCAUGCAAGUCGCGGGAAUCCAGCAAUGGGGAACCGGCGUAAGGGGCAGUAAGGCGUGGGUACCUACCCUGGGGUCCGGGAUAGCCGUCCGAGAGGGCGGGUAAUACCGGAUGACCUCGGGAGAGCAAAGCUCCGGCGCCCCGGGAGGGGCCCACGUGAUAUUAGCUAGUUGGCGGGGUAAUGGCCCACCAAGGCUUAGAUGUCUAGCGGGUGUGAGAGCACGACCCGCGCCACUCGCACUGAGACACUGGCGAGACACCUACGGGUGGCUGCAGUCGAGGAUCUUCGGCAAUGUGCGCAAGCACGACCGAGCGACGCCGCGUGGGCGACGAAGGCCUUCGGGUUGUAAAGCCCUGUCGAGGGGGAGAAAAGCGGGAAACCGUGUGAUCUAUCCCUGGAGGAAGCUCGGGCUAAGUUCGUGCCAGCAGCCGCGGUAAGACGAACCGAGCGAACGUUGUUCGGAAUCACUGGGCUUAAAGGGCGCGUAGGCGGGCUGCCAAGUUUGGGGUGAAAUCCACCGGCUCAACCGGAGAAGGGCCUCGAAUACUGGCGGUCUGGAGGGAGGUAGGGGCGUGCGGAACUGUGGGUGGAGCGGUGAAAUGCGUUGAUAUCCACAGGAACUCCGGUGGCGAAGGCGGCACGCUGGACCUUUUCUGACGCUGAGGCGCGAAAGCCAGGGGAGCGAACGGGAUUAGAUACCCCAGUAGUCC